UACGGAGGGUGCGAGCGUUGUCCGGAAUCACUGGGCGUAAAGCGCACGUAGGCGGUCUUUUAAGUCGGGGGUGAAAUCCUGGAGCUCAACUCCAGAACUGCCUUCGAUACUGGAAGACUUGAGUCCGGGAGAGGUGAGUGGAACUGCGAGUGUAGAGGUGAAAUUCGUAGAUAUUCGCAAGAACACCAGUGGCGAAGGCGGCUCACUGGCCCGGUACUGACGCUGAGGUGCGAAAGCGUGGGAGCAAACAGG
rnacentral:rRNA from 1 species